UUAUGACUAUAUAUAAUUAGUCAACUCCGUUGGAUUCAAUGCUUCUUUAUAGAAUCUAGAUUGGUGGGAACGAACGAAAUGCAUGCCGGCAUCAUUAUUGUGACGCGGUUUUCGCCGUAUCUUUCCGAAACUCCCAGGUCAGCGUUAACUGCGUGUUCAAACUUGCUUCUUUUUUCUUAUCCCUUUUACACACAGAUAUGUUAUACUCCACUGUCCAAAAUCUAAUUUAUAGAAUUAUAUUUCGUGUAUACCAUAAGAGAGAAAGACAUAGAAGAAGGAGUAAUAAUGCUACAAAUAAUACAGUAGUUGUAAUUUAUAGAGUAAAGUUAUAUGCAACUUAUACCAUUUUUUUUAUUAUUUCUCUAUCAUAUAUCACUCAUUUCAAAGAUUUUUCUUUUUCUUUUUUAUCUCUUCUCUGUCUAUAUAUCUCUCUUUGUUAUAUAUGACACAGCUAGCUGAUGGUUUUGAGAUGCAGGUAAAAGCUAGAUAAACUCUGCAGUAUUCUCUGGUCCUCAACCUCUCUCUUUCAUGGCAGAUUAAUUAUUCAUUAUCUCUUACGUACUUUUCUCAUUUCAUCGAAGCCGAUCGACUUUGGGACUUAAAGUCUUAAACCACGGUAAUUCUUUCCCUUAUAUAUGGUUUAUCGAUUUCAUGUAAUUUACUUUAUCGUCAAAUGUUAGUUAGGAGAAUUUAAAGGUGACCUCUGAAUCAAUGUUAUUUUUUUCUGAACUCAAAUAUAAGAAAAUUUAAUUAAUUUUUCUCCUAUUUAAUGAUCAUUCUUAAAACUUUAUUUUUAAGAAUUUUAUUUUAUUCAUGAUAUAAAUUUUAAUGAAAGAUAUUUUUAAAAUAAUCUUAUGAUUUACUUGAGAAUAAUAAAAUUAAAUCAUUUCAACUAAGUUUUUUAAUUAAUAUGAAAAUAAUUAUUUUACUUAUACAUUAAUCUAGAAGAAUAGUAUAUUGUUUGUCGAUUUCACGAACAUUAUUGAUCUGCAACCAUCUUUCAUAUAUGCAUAUCGAUCAUAUAUACAAUCCUACACAAAGGGUGCAUACACAAUUAGGUUUGUGUGACUAUUCUUUUUCAAACAAAUAUUCCCUUGGCAACAUACAUAUAUUUAUACGGGUUACUAAUUAAUGAAAACUGAUAAGCAUAUAAAUAAUGAAAAAGUCUUUAUAUGUAAAUGAAUAGUGUAUAGAAGGUCCUCUCUCAUAGUUUGUCUUUGCCAUCCAAAUCACAUGUUGGUUUCCUAGGAGGCUCAGAAGUAGAAGACUGCAUGGAAAACGGUAGAAGGUCUUGUUCAGCAGAAAGAAACACGACGUCAGUCCCAUAUAAACGAGGCAUGGCAUCAUUAUUAGUUGCAGUGCCACCAAACACUUGAGAAUGUUGAUCACUGAGUGGCGUCGCCGAGGCGUGGAACAAUGAUGGACGAUUAGUGAGGUAACCAAAUUCCUUAGAGAAAUGAACCCUUUCUGGAAAAUUAAGCUUAGCUUUGGUUCCUUUGAAUCUGAGAGCUGCUUCAUCGUAAGCGAGUGCAGCUGCCUCAGCAGUUUCAAAGGUUCCCAGCCAAACUCUCGCUGCUUUCUUUGGGUCUCGAAUCUCCGAUGCCCACUUCCCCCACGGUCGUUGUCUCACUCCUCUAUAGUGCCUUCUUACGUUUCCUUCACAUACACACACACAUGUCCAUACAUUUCAACAAAACAAUUUGCUCCCAUCUUUGUUACACUAUUUUUUAUUUUUUUUUAACAAGUUAUGAUAUUUAGACAUCCAUUUUUCUCAAACAUCUAUCUGAUACUAAUCAUUUCUCUUUAUCUUUUUUUUAUCGUCAUAUUAUAUCACCUUAAUGCCUAUAUAUUUUCUCUUUUAUCUCUUGUAGGUGUUAAUUUUAAUUGUCUAAGUACUAUUUUCCUCUUUUAGCCGCCUUUCCUUUUUUAAAGAGGUUUUAAUCGUGCAAAUGCUGUAAAUUUUAGUUUUAUUUAUUUCUUAAAUAGUUGUUAGUUUUUUAUCUUCAUAUUUUUUCUUAAAAAAAAUAUGUUUUUCAUCAUUUAAUAAUGUGUUGCAUACAACCAUGUCACAUUAACAACUACUAUGAGAUGACAUAUAAUGUGACUUAUCUAGAUGAAAAUGUCAUGUUAUCAUAAGAACCAUUAAUUUUCAAAAUUUAUAAGAAUCAAAAUUAACAAUUUUUUUAAGAAUUAAAACUAAAAUUUAUCAUAUGUGUAAGGAUUAAAAGACAUACUAUAUGCCCCUAUUAAAAUGAUAAAAAAGUUAGAUAAAGACAAUAGAAUAUAUACUUUCUUUAAAAGCAAAAUAAGUGAAAUGUAAUAAUUAAUAGGGGGAAAUGAAGAAAAUCGUUCCUAAUGUACUAAGAGGCUACAACUUCAAUCAUUUUUUAUUUUUAUUUUUAUGACGCUAGUUUAGGUGUGUAAUAAUUGCAUACAAGUUUUUAUUUUGAUAAAACUUACGCUGAAUUCAACUCGAAGCACUUCUGUUAUAAUCUCACACUAGCUAUAUAAAAAAAGUGCUAUCUUCUUUUUAUUUGUGGGCAUGCAAAGCUGUGUGUAAUUUUUAGCUUAUAAAGAAUAGGCUAUCUUCUUUCAUUUAUGAUGUUCUAAGAGGGUAAACUUCUUUCAUUUUGUAUUACUUAUCACGCUAUCCAUGGUGUAAAAAUUAGCAUAUAAGAAUUGUAUGAGAUUCAAUUUAGGCACGCCUUGUGAAUAACACUUCCAUCAUUAAUAAAAAAAUCAGCUUAUAAAAAUAAUUAAUGUUAUCUUCUUUAUCGGUAAGCAAACAACAAAAACAUUUUUAUUAUAUCAUUUUUUUUAUGAACAUGAUUAAUUUAUGAAUAUGCCCAUUAAGAUAUUUUAAUAAGUUUUUAACUGUUUUUACUAAUUGAAAAUUUAUUUGAUUAUUUAAUAAAUAAUUUUUUAAUAGUUUAUAAUAUUUUUUAAAUCAUUACUUGAAGUAUUAUUUGUUAAAACGUUAAUUUCUAAAUUUUAAUUUUUUUAUAUAUUUUUAAUCCUUAAUAUAUUUAUUUAAUUUUUUUAAAAAAUAAAUUAUAAUUUUAUUAUAUUUUUAUCAUUUUAUAUUUUUUUUAUCUAUUUCAACAAUUAACUUUAUCAAACACUUACAAUUUAAUAAAUUAAUUUUUUAGCUUAUAAUUUUCGGUUAGUAGCAAACUUUCUAGCAUUCAUUUAAUAUUUAAAUUUUUAAUUAGUUUUAUAAAAAAUAACCUACAUUAUUUUCUUUUAUACUCACCAUUAUACGAAUUGAAAAAUUAUCUUAUACUUUUCUUCUUUCUUUUUCUUAUUUAGAAAAAUAAUAACCCAUUUCUUUACUCUCUUUACUCCCCAAAAACUACACACAACGAAAGUUUCAAAUAGCAUCGACCAAACUUUAAUCACUCUAAUCUUUAAACUAGUUUGUAUUCAUACACUAUAUAUACGUUAUACUUUGUUCACAUCAUCACAUGUUUAAUGUAUAAUCAAAUUAAACAAUACAUAACACAAAAUUAUUUGUAUAGUGCAUUGACUGCAAAUGAUAAUCAGAACAAUAAAACUUGUACCGCCAUGAUUCGUCUACUUAUCUUGUACUAUACUUCUUUUACCGUCCUAUAAGAUGCAUAUCAAACACUUCGUGGGUGUAUAUGUUGUAUCACUUUUAAUUUGAAGAAAGAAAAAGGAAAAGACAUACAAGGAAUGAAUGGAUGAUCAGUUUUUCAUCAUUUUCUUUUCUCAAAAAUGGAAAAGUGUUUGCAAAAGAGGGUCUUGAACUGUGGUGUCUAUAUAUUAAUAGCAUUUUAAAUUUACAUCUGUUGCUGUUGCUGUUUUUUUUUUAAGAUGGACACUUACAUCUUUAAAAAAGAGCUUUCUUUCCUUUUUCUUUCUCUUUCUUCUUCACAUCAUUAGCAUUUUAUUACGUAUAAUUAAGAAGGGUAUGAAGAGGGGAGUGUAAAGAAGUAAAGACGUACGUAAACUAAAAAAAAUUUUGUAUCCAAUAUUAUAUAAUUAGUGCAUGGGAAACAAGAUUGACAAAACAAUGAACAACACAUUAAAGUAAACAAACAACAUUCAUGUAUCUAUGAAUUCCUCACAUCAUGUAAUAACAUGAAAUAUUUAUCAUUUUGGGGUCUGAAUCAGGAUCGAUGGGAAAGAUAGAGAGGAACACAACAGGGGAAAGAAGACUUGGUUGUGCAUCAAGUCUUCAGCCCUAUCUGUUAAUUCCCAAUAUUCCAUGGUCCUUGUUCACUCCUCAAAUCAAAUUUAAUUCUAAUUUAUAUAUAAGAAGAAAGAGGCAUAAAAUGUAUAUAUGAAUAUAUGUGGCAAAGGCAGGAACGGCAUACCUUGAUGUUGUGGU
rnacentral:lncRNA from 1 species